CAGGGUUCGGCUGACUCGAACUAUUCCCAGCCGUCCUCCGACCUUUCGUUGGACGAGGAGAGGGAGAACCUUCGCCGUGAGACCGAACGACAGGCGCUUUCCCAGCUCGAGAAGGCCAGGGGGCACCAUCGGGACAGCGGGGUCAGGCGCAGAACAGAGGGCCAGGCAUUCGUCACUCUUCAGGCAGCCAGGACCAAACCCGUGGCGUUUUCCGUGCGCACCAAUGUGGCUUACGAUGGUUCUCUGGAUGACGACUCGCCGGUGCACGGGUCGGCCAUCUCUUUCGAGGUCAAGGACUUCCUCCACAUUAAGG
rnacentral:lncRNA from 1 species